ensembl:lncRNA
UGCCACCAUCUGGCAUCAGUACAUUGGGGAAGUCACCAUGUCCUUCCCAUUUCCAGCACAGAUCCAUCCCUUUCAUCUGCUGCUUUAUCCUUCCACAGCCAUUUUGUGCCCGUUUGGGUUUUUUGAUGCCUCUGAUUGCAGAGAGGCUGAGGUGGAGCCCAGCACGGUGCCCUUGCCUCCCCUGCUGUUGCCAAGCCCCAAAUGCAGCCCUGGGGGUUUGGUGGGACACAGAGCCAGCCUGAAGGAGGAGCUCUGUGCUGCUCAGUCUCCUUCCAGGUGUUGGCCACAUCUGGAAUGGCUGCUGUGGCAGUUCCAGCUGCACCAGGCUCCUCCUGCAGCUCCCAGAGGGAAGCCAGGGGCUGCUCUGUUCAACAGCCUUGUCACAAAUGCCCCAGUGAAUCCUCUGUGUGCACAGGUACGGGGUGAUCAUCGUGGGGAACCCCAAGGCCCUGUCCAAGCAGCCCCUCUGGAACCACCUCCUGAAUUACUACAAGGAGCAGAAGGUGCUGGUGGAGGGGCCCCUGAACAACCUGAGGGAGAGCCUGAUGCAGUUCAGCAAACCCCGCAAGCUCGUCAACACCAUCAACCCUGGUGCCCGUUUCAUGACCACUGCCAUGUACGAUGCACGCGAGGCCAUCAUCCCCGGCUCCGUCUACGACCGCAGCAGCCAAGGUAAAGGAAAUGCCCAAAAUUCACUUUUUAGGGGUUUCUGUUUCCCCUAACCAGCCCCUGAGGGGUCACACCUUACACACUUCAAACCUUGAAACUUCUUAAGGGCUUUUAAACUUGUGCAGAUUUCGAAUUUGUUAAAGAUUUAAGCUUCAAACUACAGAAAUGGAAUUUGAGAACUGGAAGUGAUGGAAUUUGAAGGCUGAAAAUGUUUGGGAUGAGUUUAAGGGCUGAAAAUGGAUUGAGUUUAAGGAGUGCAAACGUUUGGGAUAAAUUUGAGGGCUGAAGAUGUUUGGGAUGAAGUUGAAGCUGAAAUAUUUGGGGUAAAUUGGAGACUGAAGUGUCUGGGAUGAAUUUGAGGCUGAAAACGUUCGGGAUGAAUUUGAGGCUGAAAUCUUGGUAUGAGUUUGAGGGCUGAAAAUGGAACAAAUUUAAGGACUGAAAAUGCUGUGGAUGAAUUUGAGGGCUGAAAUGUUUGGAAUUUAAUUUAGCAAAUUAAAUGAAACUAUUUGGGAUGGAUUUGAGAGCUGAAAUGUUUGGGAUUUGAUUUAUCAACUGAAACUAUUUGGGGUGAAUUUGAGGGCUGAGAGUCUUGAGCCUGGAUUUGGCUCUCUGUGAAUAGAAUCAGCCUGACAAUUGCAGAGCAGGUGCAGACUGAGGGGAAAAGGAGAGUGGGCAGCAUUUCAGGGAUCUCAGUGGUGCUGUGAGGAGGAGGAGCUGUGGAUGAGCCUGUGUCAGGUGGAUUUAUGGAAUGUCCAGGAGUGGAAUCAGCAGCGAGGCCGAGACGCUGCUGCCUCUGGCAGGGGGAGCUCAGUCCUUGGGGAUUGUUCCUGGAGCAAUCCCUGUGUCCCCUCUGUGCUCUCCUAUUGCUCCUCAGCAAUCCCUGCAUCCCUCUCCUAUUGCUCCUGGAACAAUCCCUGUGUCCCCUCUGUGCUCUCCUAUUGCUCCUCAGCAAUCCCUGCAUCCCUCUCCUAUUGCUCCUGAGCAAUCCCUGCAUCCCCUCUGUG